CCACCUUUUCGAGCCCUGGUUGUCUCUUCGAGCCCUCGGCCCACCUCCAUCCGAUCGGAUCGUCGAUUAUUAGUAUAUGAUGGUUUAAUCUUUUGGAUAUUUAUUUCUGGUUGUUUCUUAAUAUUUUGUUUGGUGGUUUAUUGUUGUCUAGGUGUUAACAUAUAGAGUGGAGAAUUAUCGUGAUAAUAUGAUUGGAUUGCAGUCAAAUGAGUAAUUGGGUAAUUCCAUACUGCCCAUUCAUGUAUC
rnacentral:lncRNA from 1 species